UCUUCUUCUUCAUUAUUCUCUUCUUUCCUUUUCUCUCUUCUCAUUCUUCUUCUUUUCUUCUGCUCCUUCUCUGCUUUUCACCCGAGAGUAAAUCGUGAGAAUCGAUUGAGAGACAUUACUGAGGAAUUUAUUUAGGCGACGACGGAGAUGGUGCUGCUGUUAAUUAAGGUGGAGAAGAAUAGAAAAUCAGCCGAGUAGUUAGGGUUCUUGUUUUGAUUGAGGGUUUGUGUGGAAUAACAAAUGAGCCGAGGUUGACAACGGUGAACAAAAGAUGAAGUAUGCAUGAUGGUGUUGAUUAAAGAAACAACGGAGAUAAGAAUUAGGGUCCGAGGAUUUUAAAUUGAGUUAUAUGUUGAAUUGAAUCAAGGAAGAUGAAAUUGGGUGUUUAUGUGAUUGAUUAGAGAUGGGGUUUUGACUGAUUUGAAUAUUUGGUUACCGAGAUGCAUAUCAUUCGAUUAAUUGAGAAAUCAGGGUUUCGUUCUUAAGGGUUUUGGACAAGGAGAAAGUAGAAGAUGGGUUUGCUUAAUUUGAGGAUUGAAUUGAUGUUGUCAACUCGAAUUAGAAACUAGAGGAUUGAGAAUUGGUUUUAGGGUUUCUGAGUACCAAAGAUGAAGAUGAAGUGAUUCGUGAUAAAUUUGAUGAUGAUGUUCUGAAUUGAGGCAAGUAAAGAAGGGUUUAAUGUCAAAUGCUCGAUUGAAUCUUUUCUGAGUUAAUUCAUCUUCUCUUGUUAACAUUAAAAUGUUGUUCUUGAUAAUUAUUGAUAUGUGAAUGUUUAAGAACUUGUGGGUUGAGAUGGGAAUGGUUACGUGAUGUAGCUUGGGUUUGAUGUGAAUUAUAUGUUGGAGUCUUGAAUAGAUGAAGGUUUAAAAUGCUGCUAAGUUUAUGAUCUUGUUAAUUGAUCCUAGAAUUGUUAUAGAUGUAUGUGUAUGGAAAAAGAACUGCAAAAUGGAUAUUACAAGUCGUGAUGGUGAAUAUUGCGAAUACAAUGGACUGUGGUGGUGUUAUGGAGUGUUUGUGGUUUUGUGUUGGUGAAUGGUUUGAGUGCUUGAGUGACUCUGAGUUGUAGGUGAAAUUGGAUGCUAAUGCAAAAAGUGGUUGUGGUGAUUCUGCGCAGUUGGUGGUGUUGGAGUGAUUUGAGACAGAUCAUAGAUUGGUUUCACUUGUGGUUUUGAUAAAACUCUCGAAUUUUUCUUCUCGUGUUCCUCAUCUCAACCACCGUAGCUUCGAAAAAAAAAAGAAAAACAAGGCUAAGAGAAACUAUAAAGAGCCGAGGAAAGGAGUGAAUUUUGAUUUGAGUUUCUGAAAUCUAUCUGAGAGGAAAGAAGGUUUUGAAUGUGAAGCCCUCAAUUAGAUGAAACACGUUGAAGGUGUUUGAGAAGAGGGUUUUCCCCUGUGUUCUUUUCGAUCAGUAAUUGAAGGUGAUGCAGGAUAUGGGUAGAACCGAAAUAGAAUUUGGAAUUAUACAUGUUCAGAAUCUAUGUCACCACAAACUGAAAAAGCAUGCUUGGGUUAGUUUUUCUUAGGCUGUCAGGUGUCUUUGGCUUCGAAGGCGAGCUACAGAGGUCAAGGUUUGAGUUGCGAUUUGAGGUGGGAGCUUACAUUACUCUCUUGUAACCAUUGAUGGCCCUUUACAAAAUGAUGUUUAUGAAACUUAACAAACUCAUGCAUUGUUGAAUGUUGAUUCCUUUAGCCUUUCCGUUACUCAGAAAGGACCUGAUGUGUUUUGCUUGUCUUUAUGAAUGUUAUGGGAAACAAGAGUUUCCAUAUGUGGCAUAUAGGACACGCUUUUUCGUUUAUACCUACUUUCCUUUCUGCUUUCAUGCGUAUGAGGUGUGGAAUUUGGCAUCAAUAUUACCAUAUGAGGUGUGGAAUUUGGCACUCAAUAGUAUACAUUGUUCGAAGAAGAAGUUUGUCCAUGUACA